rnacentral:misc_RNA from 1 species
AGGACUGGACGGCCAAAGGCAGUUGCUUCCCAUUGCAUGAUUGGCAAGAGAACCUUCUCAAAAAGAAAUGGCACUCCCCAUUUCAAUAAAAUGAGUAGAAGUAUAAUCAAGAGAAUGCAUAAUGCCAGAGCUUUGAUCCACCAAAUGAAAGAUUUAAUUCUUGCAUUUGCUUCAGUUUGUAAGAUGUGGGUGUCUUCAGGUUCAGCUACUCUUGGUUCAUUGGAAAUAACAAGCCUAACAUAUUCACUGUCUUCCCUUAAAUUCACAGGAUGAUGCUCAGAGUUUGCAGCUUCAUUUCCAGACACCUCAGAGGUCUCUGGCAUCUUCACUAGGAUCCCCUGAGGCUAUAUCUAUCUGAAAUGGAAAUUGAGAGGAGGAAAUGGAAAUCGGACAGUCCGUCGGAGAAGAAGUCGCCGACGAUCUUGGUUGCUUGGUCU